rnacentral:rRNA from 1 species
UACGGGGGGAGCAAGCGUUGUUCGGAUUUACUGGGCGUAAAGGGCGCGUAGGCGGCGCAACAAGUCACUUGUGAAAUCUCCGGGCUUAACCCGGAGCGGCCAAGUGAUACUGUCGUGCUAGAGUGCGGAAGGGGCUACUGGAAUUCUCGGUGUAGCGGUGAAAUGCGUAGAUAUCGAGAGGAACACCGGUGGCGAAGGCGGGUCUCUGGGCCGUAACUGACGCUGAGGAGCGAAAGCAUGGGGAGCGAAAAGG